rnacentral:rRNA from 1 species
GUGCCAGCAGCUGCGGUAAUACGUAGGGUGCAAGCGUUAAUCGGAAUUAUUGGGCGUAAAGCGUGCGCAGGCGGUUAUGCAAGACAGAUGUGAAAUCCCCGGGCUCAACCUGGGAACUGCAUUUGUGACUGCAUGGCUAGAGUACGGUAGAGGGGGGUGGAAUUCCGCGUGUAGCAGUGAAAUGCGUAGAUAUGCGGAGGAACACCGAUGGCGAAGGCAAUCCCCUGGACCUGUACUGACGCUCAUGCACGAAAGCGUGGGGAGCAAACAGGAUUAGAUACCCUGGUAGUCCACGCCCUAAACGAUGUCAACUGGUUGUUGGGAGGGUUUCUUCUCGGUAACGUAGCUAACGCGUGAAGUUGACCGCCUGGGGAGUACGGCCGCAAGGUUGAAACUCAAAGGGAAUUGACGG